rnacentral:rRNA from 1 species
UACGAAGGGGGGCUAGCGUUGCUCGGAAUCACUGGGCGUAAAGCGCACGUAGGCGGAUCUUUAAGUCAGGGGUGAAAUCCUGGAGCUCAACUCCAGAACUGCCUUUGAUACUGGGGAUCUCGAGUCCGGGAGAGGUGAGUGGAACUGCGAGUGUAGAGGUGAAAUUCGUAGAUAUUCGCAAGAACACCAGUGGCGAAGGCGGCUCACUGGCCCGAUACUGACGCUGAGGUGCGAAAGCGUGGGGAGCAAACAGGGAUUAGAU